AUAAUUUUAGUUCUAUCCUUGUCACCCAUGCAUCACAUCAGCGCCACGCAAGUAGGCUAGGACGUUAGUUGAACACGGUGAAUCAUAUUCAAACACGGUGACUGUUUCACUGUGUUCCAUAUUUACAUUUUCCUUUACUGUGUUUAGACACGAUGAAUGAAUUAUCGUGUUCAACUCAUUCCCUUACUAAUGUGGCGCUUACGUGGCACCUGUGUGGCGGGAUAGGGCUAAAAUUGUAAUUAUAAAUUUGGUAGGAUUAUUUGUGAAAAUAAUAUUUUUGAAGGGGGAAAAUGCAAAAAAGGUCUCGAUUCUAUUAAAUCAAACGGCCCUGAGGCAGAUUUUUAUUCUUUAUAACUAGAGAUUCAAGAAUUUUUUACAUAAGAUCAAUAGGUGGGUCUAAUUUUGGCAACCAGCUAUUCGAAUUGGCAAAAAAUCGAACGCACGUUUUCAAAACAAAAGUUCGGAAAAUAAACCAAAAUUUGACCGCUUACAAAUUUUAAUUUGAAGGAUUAAUAAUAUUAUGAGUAGGGGUGGAAACGAGCCGAGCUCGAGCGAGCUUAUGUCAUCUCAAAUUCGGCUUGAAAUUAAUUUCGAGCCUUAUCUAGGCUCAAGCUUCGCUUUGAAAUUAUUCGAGCGCAGCGUGAGACUAUUCGAGCUGAGCUCGAUGUUCGAGCUCACUGAGCUCGCUACAUUGAAUUCUCGCAUUAUAAAUCAAUAGUUAAUUUUUAUGAACUUUAUCUACAAUUUGAUGCAACAUGCCAAUAAUUCAAACAAUUACAAUAAUACUUUAAAAAUGUGAGGCUCGAGGUGACUUCCUGACUGAUGAGGGUCUUAAGAAGAGAGAGAGAGAAGAGAGAGAUGAGAGAGAGGAAAAAAGUAGGGAUUUGAAAAUUUGAAUGUUAUCAUGUUUUGGAGUUAUGUGACAACAGUUGAGAAAGUGUUAUGUAAACUUUAGAGUUGGGCUCAAUUGUACGUUGUACUUGUUGGCGUUUAUUUUAUGGGCCACAAUAAUGGACCCAAUUAAAUUUAAGGCUAUAUAUAUAAUUAAAUACAUUUAUUUAUAGAAAUUUAUAUAUAUUUAUUAUAGGUUCGAGCUACUAUACUUCUUAUGAAGUAUUGGUUUCUUAUACUCAUAAGUUUCACCUUAAAUUUAUUCCAUUAAUCAUUUAAUCGUUAGAUCAUACUAUUUACCACACUACCCACUAACCCUAUGGCGGACCACGUAUCUUCGUAAGUGGGGACACCAUCAUCCUAAAACAAUCCCAUCGAAUCACGUUUAAAAAAUUUAUGAGUUAAGGGGUCUAUUAUAUAGAUAUGUAGCCGGCCUAUAUAUUAGUAUAUGUAUAUGUAUAUGUAUGUAUAGUAUGUAUAUUAUAAUAUAUAUAUAUAUGUAUAUUGUAUAUGUAUAUUAUGUUAUGACUUAUAUAUGUAAUAUGUUUAUAUGUAUGUCUAUAUUAUAUGUUAGUAUAUUAUAUAUGUAUGUAUUAUAUAUAUGAUAGUAUGUAUAUAUAUAUGAUAUAUAUAUGUAUAUAUAUAUAUUAUAUAUGUAUAUAUAUAUAUAUAUAUAUAUGAUUUAUAUCUAUAUAUAUGUAUAAUUAUAUUAUAUAUAUGUAUUAUAAUAUAUAUAUAUAUGUAUAUAUAUUUAUAUAUAAUUCCGAGCUUUUCGAGCUUUUCGCAGCUAUUCGACGAGCCGAGAUAAUAGCGUCAGCUCGGCUUGAAAUGAAUUUCGAGCCUUUUAUUUUGUUCAAGCUCGGCUCAUUUAAUUUCGAGUCGAGCUCGAGCGAGCCGAAUAUCGAGCCGAACACGAGUCGAACGCGAGCCGGCUCGCUCAUUUGCCAGCCCUAAUUAUGAGGCGUAUGUACACUCCUGCAUGGAUGAAUUGCAACAUCUCUAAAAAAAUUUAAAAUUUGAGCGGUAAAUAUAAAAUUGUAAAAGUUUGGAUGGUGUGUAAAAAUUUUAAAACCUUAAGGGGUUAUCUGCAAAUUGCUUAAAAUUCACUUAAAACUUGAGUUAUCUUCGCAAACUAUUGUUAAAGAACUAAAGAACUAGGCCAAAUCUAGAAACUUAUUCAUUUUUAAACACAUUAGUCAUGUAGCACAGUUACAGUUCGGCAAUGUAGGAAUCGGGUGUAGCCGAAUACUACCUUCACCUACAGGGACAGUUUUUAUAAGAGCUCUUUUUCCAUUUGAUCCUCGAAAAAAAAAAAAAAAUUAAAAAUAGUCCUACGAAAUUUAUAAUUAUAAUUUUGGUCCUAUUCCUAUCACACAAGCGCCACGUCAGCUCCACGCGAGUGGGACUGGGAUCAAGGUGUUAAGUUGAACACGAUGAAUCAUUCACUAUGUUUGGACACGAUGAAUGGUUCACCGUAUUCAGUGACUUAUAUUACUCGGAAGAAUAAUAUAUUAAAUACAGUGAACUAUUCACUAUGUCCAAACACGGUCAAUCGUUCAACGUGUUUAGACACGAUGAAUAGUUCACCGUGUUUAAACACGGUGAACCAUUCACUAUAUUCAGUAGAACUCUACCCAGGUCAUUGCAGAUUUCAGCACAAUAACACAACAAAUCAUGAUACAUCGAUAACUUAACAAAUUCAACUUUAACAACACAACAACAAAUCCACCACAACAACACAAUAAUAAAUCCAACAGAAUAUCAAUAGAGCAUCAAUACCAUAUUAUCACAACAAAAUAUCAAAAAAUAGAGCAAGUUUAUCAAUAAUUUAAAAAGUUCUAUACAAUUUAAAAUUUACAAAAAUGUAAAGUCAUAUUCUCCUCCUAAUCUCUUGACCACAUCUACCUACACGUCCCCUACCACGACCGCGACCACGAUCAACACUAUACUUGUCGAAGAGCAAUGUGACUUCCAACUGGUCGAAAUGUUCGAUAGCAGCACCCUCCACAACUGGCUGAGUAUCCUGCGUCUCUAUCACCUGUUUCAUCUCGUGCUCAACCAUAGCAGGUGUCGGUAGUAUGUCUGGUCGUGGAGGAGCUGAAGAUGAGAGCUAAUUUGUGUGGAGAGACUGCAACUGUCAUUGGCGCCUAUGAUAAACAAUAUCAGCUAGUCGAGGUGGAUCCUCUUGUAUUGGAGAUCCUCUGGUGUUGGCAUUGUGUCUGGAUAAUAAAAUGACUCCUCUAUCGGUGAAGAUGGCCUCGGUGGACUAUACAGUGGGACAUGAACCAACGUCGAUAGUCCACCAUAUUUUGUUGGCCGUGGAGGUACAGUGUCUGGAAGCGUAGGUAGAGUCUCCAAAACCGCUUCCAUUUGAUCGGCACCUUGUGAUAAAGCUUCUAAUACUCCGCCAUAUGAAAUAUCUGACAGGACACGUGUCACGCCCCAAAUUACCAUGUUUCCCCGGGCACGCUAACAGACCCGCCGUAUACAUUAACAUUUUUCACGAAGUGAUAGCUAUACCUGUAAACAAGUUAUAACUAUAGCCAAGAGUAUAGAGCUGCUAGAACUGAAAUAUAUACAAAAUAUAAAUCAUCCACUGUACAUACAAAAACCAACAGCACAACCUCGCUCCAGCGAGUACAACUAACCAUAAUAGUAUGUACAAGGCAAAAUCUAUCUAACUCUGCAAGGGUACUUCUCUAGCAAUGUAAUACAUUGAACUUACGCAAAUUGCGAAGUUCGAGUGUGUGGAAGGAUAUUUGGAGCUAUCCUACAUCUUCUAAAGGGUUUAGAGAAGAUAUUGGACAAGUUUGAGAGUGAUUGGAAGGCCAGAAGCAUGAAAGUGCAUUGUUCUGGCGAAAUUCAGCAUUUUUUUGCAUUGUGUACCGGUACAGCCAUCAUUGUGUACCGGUACACAAUGACAGAUACGUGGCAGCAAGGCUAAUUUAGUAAUUUCACUUCUUUAACCCAUCCUUAUCUACCCAGCACGACCUCUGGAGCUCCUUAGAUGAUCCUAGAGCUCAGAGAAGUGUUCUUGCACCUCUCUCACUUUCUCUUUCUAGGGUUUCUCUCUCUUCGAGUAGAAGUCGCCGAUUCAAGCCGAUUCCGCGUUCCGCUCGAUGUUCGCUGGUUUGGAGACUCAAGGAAAGUCUUUGGCAUGUGGGGAGAAGGAUUCUUACUGAAUUUCUGAGGUCCUAUCACCAGGGGAAGCUAAGUUGCAGCUUUUGAUAAGUAUUUUGCUUAAGACUUCUCUAAUUUGAAGUUUAGUAUCGGAAUUUGAGUUGUUUUAGUUUCUUUGCUCCCAGCUGAAUUAGGAGUUUCCAGCAGCUAGAGAGGAGUUAGUUAGCUGUGAUUUAUCCACUUUAGACCAGGGAUAAGCUGCUUUGAAGCUUGAUAACGGUAAUUAGUUAUCUAUGACUCUAGUUCGGCUAUACGAGGUUUAAGCGAGUAAAUUGAUGCAGUUUGGAAUUGUUUCUUCGCAGCAGGUUUCCGAACCACCUUGAGCUAAAUUGGUGACCUUGGGGGACUGGUUUGAAAGGUGUUUCAACCAAGGGUAAGUAGAAAUUUCAAUUAGAAAACUGAUUACGUAAGAUUCCGACUAUAUUAACUAGUAUACAAGUGUUUUGAUGCCGUUUGGUGAUUACUCGCAGCAAGGUUGCAAUCGACCGUUGGAUUAUCUUUGACUAACUUGUGAGAGCUUUUGGAGGUUAAACUUGAGGUACUAAAGUGAACCAAAGUAGGGAUUUAAGUUACUACUAUGUACUAAGUGAGAAUUUUGCCGAUUUCGGACAUUUUGGCCAUCGCUUCAAUGCGAUUUUGAUACUCAGUUUUCAGCAGGUUUGAGACCUAGCGAGCUGAAUUUUGGGACUCAGUUGGGGCUGGAUCGAGCUUAGUGCUAGGUGGGUUUGACCUAACCAGAGCAAGUGAAGCUCCCCUAUGUUCUAUAUGUUACUAUAGAUUUGGUACAUAGGUGCAUUUUAUGAUUAUGUGAUUGAUAAGGAUUUGAAACAUCAUCGCCGCAUCGGUUGAGAUAUUGUAAUGAAACCUCUAUGAAGGAGAGAGAACUCAUGCAUAAAAGUAUUCAUGCAUAAAGUAUUCAUGCACUAAAGUAUUCUUGUUUAGUUCAAUUGAAUAACCAAGAGAUAAGUUUAUUAUGCUUCUAUAAAGUAGAGAACAAUUACAUUCUCUUGACCCUAUUGAUAGUAUAUGAAUAGUGAGAAGUUUCUAAUGCAAUAUGUAAAAUUGGCAUUACUUUUAUGUGUUACUAAUCUAGUGGAUACUAGCAAGUUUCAUUGUUUAUCAUAUUGAGAAUUCCGAUCAAUAGAUCGAGAGUGAGAACAGAGUGUACUAUGACAUGAUGGUUGAGACAUAUUGGGCUAUGGACUUUGCUUGCUUGCCAUCGUGCUCAUUCGCACACGCUUGUGAGGGUAGCUCCCUACAAGCCGGCACUCCGGAGUUGGCCUACGCGACAGUUGCUCGCCCGUGCGGGAUUGGGUGCCGAAGUGGAUUGCCGUGGGGAGUAUAUACUACCACGAGGCAAUCCACUUCGGCACCCAAUCCGUGGGGAGUAUAUACUACCACGAGGCAAUCCGUGGGGAGUAUAUCCAAUACUUUUAUUAUUCAGUCGAUUCAUUACUGCAGAAAGUAUGAUUACAUGUUGAUUAUAUGUUCAUUACCUAUUACCUGUUAACAGUAUAGAUAUAUCAUGCAAUUACUGCUUUUACUUUCAUUCAGUAUAUCAUGAGCCUAGUGGUGUAAUUCGCCGAGGCUGGCGGCUUACCCACUGGGAACUAUUGGAUAAUAGUUCUCACGCCCUUUUUAUUGUUGUUUUUACAGAGUCACCUACAGGAGAGGCUAGGGAUCGCGGCAAGGGAGUCGCGUCUAGCUAGACAUAGCUUGAUGUUUGCUAGUUGAUCACCUUCCUACUCGUGCCACGGCCGAGGGUGAUGUAUCCAUGUAUAGAGAGACUACCAUUGUACAUGUAUUUUUAGUAACCCUGUGAUGUAUAUGAGUAGUUUGAAUCGGGGAUUUUAGUUUUGAUUUUGCUCUUUGAUGUUGAGAUUUUUGGUUGUAUACUCCUUAUUCCUCUGAUGAUGGUAUUAUAGACUUAUACUUGCUCUGAUAUCAGGAUAGGAUACUUCUAUGUUUUCCUUCUAUCGACAUGUUUUCUUUGUAGACGCCUUAUAUACUGCAGGUGUAUGGCGGGUCUGUGCACAUGCCGGAUAUGCUUCCGCUGAUACCCGGGCGUGAUAAGCAAAAGACCCGGGAAGGGAAGACUCUAGCUCGCGACUCCCUUGCCUCUGUCAGAAUCCACAGUAGCAGCAGCAACGGACGGCUCUGCAAAAAGGUAACAACAAUGGGGUGUGAAAACUACUGCAAAACAGAGUAGUCCUCAGUGGGUACAGUCACCGACCUCAACGGCCCACCAACUAAGUUACAGUAAGGUAUGCAAAGGAUAGAAAAUCUGGAAGAAACUCUAUAGCUAUAUGCUACUAUAUUAUCGCUAUCCCAAACCAAGCUCACUGUAGAUAAAGGAAUGCAUCGCUAGCUACACACUGACCCAAUCUCAAGGGACUACCGAUUAGCUCGUCCAGCCUGUAUCCAAACUACACCGCACACCACCCACGGGAUGGCCGGUCCAAGAAACUGUUCAAACAGGAAUACUGCAACAUCAACGCAAGAAAAGCCUCACUCUAGAGCGGUACUCGUGGGCGCGACCCAAUCGAGUAUGCAAGCGUGUCUUUUCCGAGCUCAAUCAGGCUCACACAGGCUAUAGUCAAUGCAAAUGGGUUCAACUAGUCUAACAACCAAGAUUCACGUGCCCUCGGCACAAUCUAAUACAAGAUGGGAAAAUUUGGGUCCACCGUCAGUCUCGACGGCACCCAACAAUACAAGACAGUCUAACCCUGCUGAAAAAAAUGAUCUCGGCCUCUCAGUACGAGCGUAAUCUCAACCUACACUAAUCUAAGUAUCCACGACGCACUAACAGCAGUGAUACAAAAGAAAAGUCAGUUCCUGAAGCUAAAUUUGAUAACUUUUCAAAAAAUGCAAUAUGUAUGUUCUAUAGGUUUUCUCCUACGUCAAGUUCCAUUUCAACAUGUAAAAUUUAUCUAAACUCAUGACUUUAAGCUCCAAAUUCAGAUAUCAUAUAUAAACAUGCAAAUCAAAAUUUGAGCUACUAAAUAGGAUAAUUCAUACAAAUUAAUGCAUGCUGAAAUCUCAUACAAUUUAGGAGAAAAUCCGAUGAUUUCGGUGUACAUUAACCCACCUAAUACGCUAAUCCAAUCCCAGAAUGAACUAAAAUUUCACGAACACUUUCCUCUAGUUCUGAUUCAAAAGGGAGGCGAAGACAAUCCAGAAAUCCUGCUGCAUUUCAAAGCAUCAAUAGGUUCAGUUCGAAAAAGUAAAAGUGAUAACCAAUUCAAAUCUGCUGAUAAUACUUAAACCCUAGAUUCAUUACCUCUCUAAGAAUACAGCAAUCCACUUGAUUUGGGAACUUAACUCUCCGACUACCCUAAAUUACCAGACUAGAUUAUUGUUGCUGCUAGAAUCCUGUUAAAGCAUAAUUUUACUUGCGGAAAAUGCCAGCCGUUAGACUACAAUCUAACCAUCAAAUAUGCUAGAAGGAGGAGGAAGAGAUACAUUAUGAAAUCCUCAGCUCCUACACAUUGCUAACAUACGUUUACAUCAACUAUUCUGAAUCAAAAGAGGUUAGGAAUUGGGUCUAAUCAUCAAUGUGUAGUAUAUGCUAAUUUUAGAUAAUUUCGAAUCAAAAUCGAAAUUCUCCUUAUACUAACCUCCAAAUUAGCUCAAAGAACUCUUCCACUAGUUCAAGAUGAGGAUAAUUUCAUCUACGUCACCACCAAAGGACAGCUAAUAAAAUAGAUAAAGAGAAUUCCAUCAAAAUUCGGCUUCAACCACAAGUGGACUGCAUGAAGUUCUAACACAGCAUCAUAACAUUAAAUCAGCAAUUUAACUAUCAUGCUAUCUAAAUUUGAGAUGAAGGUUGCAGUCCACUAGAUCCUCUUACCUAUUAAAACACCUUCAUGAAUUAGAUUUUACUGCCAAUAAUUAAGAACGAGGUCAAAAGAACUCAAAAAAAAAAAGAAUCACCAAUGCUGAAAUUUUACUCACCCUACAAGAUUUUAGCAUUUAACUUCCACUAACAUGAUGUGAAGUGAAGUGAAUUAAUCACUUUUCUCACGUCUAAUAGCCAAUCUAAAACUUGUCACGCACGAGCCCGCUACCAAUUUGGUCCGGUUCGGGCGCGUUAAACAGACGCCGAACGGACAGUACCUCCCCUGUCUGCCUAAGGCUAAACAGCGAGAUCAUGUACAACAAGUUCCCAGGAAAUCACUUGAAUACAUACACAAUGAUACAACAAUAGCGAGAGCACAACCAGUACGAAACAACCAAGAGUAAGCAUCACAAGUAAAGUAUAUACGAGUGAAUAAAAGAGAGAUACUUAUCUAUUACAACCAUUCGACCUUUAUACAUCUGAUUAUAUUUAAACUUCCAAAACAUAACAUAAGGUUCACAAUCUUCCAAAAUAUCUUACACCUAUACAUUAUCUACUCUCAAGCAUAUAGGGUGACUACUAAUGCAAUAGGAAGCAUCUGCAACCUCUAGGGCGCUAAGCCCUUGCCACGAUCCUCGCCGGGGGUACUCAAGCUCGGCCCUACAACAAAGUGGAGUGAGAACUAUUGUCCAUAGUUUCCAGUGGGUUCGGCCGCCAACUCUGCCGAUCUCCCCACUAGGUCUAAGCAGGCAUAGGCAGAUAGAUAGAUAGAUAACUUGAAAGCAACGACAAUGAUAAGGAAAAAUGCAAGUACUCUACCAUGCCUUAAUCCAAUAUAAUAAAUGCAUGCAACUCAUAGUAAGGGCUAGCUACUAUACUACUAUGUUCAACCAUAAAACUAUUCAUUAGAUCACCCAAUCUCUCGGCUAACCCGGAGGCUUGCUCUCAAUCUCACGUUUUUGAGUCUCAUAGGGGAGGAGUCUCGCUGCUCAACUACCCCCGAGACCGCCUGCGGACAGCUAGCGGCUGUCUAGGUAGCACACGACGACUGCCUCUCGUGUGUCUAAACUCCGGAGUGCACAGCUUGUGUAGAGCAACCACUACAAGCGCAGACAGGCUAUGUGAGCACGAUCCAAUCCUUGUGAACCAAGGAUACCCUACCGAUUAGGGUUGUCAUCAUCAUGGAAUCAAUGUAUUCUUAUACUCAGCAUCCUAGUGCUUCGACUACACUAAGGUUCUCAUAUUCCACUCGUUCUUGUGUUUACAUUUAACUAGAUGCCACUCGUUAUCAAUUAAGUGUUUCCAAAACACUAGUUGUACACAAUCACUAGGUUUUCAUUCACCUAGGAUCCAAUCCACAUGUAUCAUCUCAUUAUAGGGUUAUUAAUCAACAUGUCUCAACCUCAUGCAUACUAGGCCCAAGUGUUAAACAAGCAACAUCACACUACCCCUAGCAUACAAGAAUAUACAACAACUAAUAAUGCACCCUAUAAUGUAUCAUGCUCAAUAUGCAACUUGAUCAAUAACGAGACUUAGACAUAGGGGCAGUUCAACUGCUUCGGGAUGGUCACCACUCACUUGUUGGCGAUGCUACGAAGUAGGAAAGGAACUCGAAACCUCCUAGGAUGCUACUUUGGCCCUCCGAAUAGAGACGAAGCCCAACGCCCUCCGCUUGGCAAUAUCUACGCACCAACUCGACGAAUAAUCGAACCGUCGCCGCCAACGCGUUUAGAUACCUAGCAAUUAGGUUUACAACCAACCAACUUAGAUCAAAACCCUAGAUUUCCCAAAACCCCAUUUUGGAGCCCUAGGUUGCAAUUAAUGCAUUAACUCACCAACAAAACCCUAGAUUCAUGCAAUUAGCACAUCACUAGCAUCAUAGGGUUUACCUAAAACCAAUCCUAGAGUAUGAAAUUCCUACCCUAGAAACCCACCAUUAAAGAGGUUGGAGCUUACCUCACUAGCUUGCUCCUCCUAAGCCUCCAAGCCCAAGAAGAAGAAGAAGAGGAAGAAGAUCCUUCUCUUGGUCUUAAGCUCCACCUAACCUCCCACCUUCUUCACUUCUAGAGAGAGAGCAAGAGAGUAAGCUCUAGAAAGAGAGAGGGAAGUGUUUAGAGUUGUAAAAGAGUGAAGAGAGAGAGAGAAGAGAUGCCCUAGCACUCUUAUGCACUCCCACUUACACACACUUGCAAGAAACCCCCUCAACUUUCAAUAUAUCACACAGCCCAUUUUUGGGCAUUUCAGGCUACGGGGACCGGUCCCUUUAAGGGAGGACCGGUCCGCGAGAGCAAUUUUCUCAGCUUGAGCUCCAGCUCAACCCUUACACGCGUAUGGGGACCGGUCCCUCUUAGGAAGGACCGGUCCCAAAGAGCAAUUCUGGCAGGUUGAGCAUCAGCUCAACCCCCACAUGCUUACGGGAACCAGUCCCCUCCCAGAGGGACCGGUCCCCGAGAGCAUAAAAUCUGCGAUUUGUGCAGAUUUUGCACUACUUGCUCUCGCGGGUCGUCCUCAAUGCACUUUAUGCAUUUCUAUCGCAUUCGGACUUCCCGAAGCAUACCAACUCGACAAUUAGCCGACUCUAAGCGAAGUCUAACUCUCGGAUUUCGAGAAUUCACUUCCUUGCAAAAACCAAUCCUAAGUUGCCGAAAAAUAAGAUUCAAAUCCCUCUCUAAUUCCUGCAAUUGGAGUUAGGUCGCUGCUGCUACCAACCUUCCUGAGCCUGCGCAGGGAAAGGAAACAGCAAAGAGGAAGGGAAUGAGAGGGGAAGAAAAAGAGAAGAAGUAGGAGAUGAAAAAGAGAAUAGAUGAUUCUAUUCUCUGCUGGGUACUUAAAGGAUAAGACUCUCAUUUAAGGGUGGUUGGGAGUAGUUAAGUUGCACACAAGGUGUUACUUAAGCACAUUAACAUGAUCCAAUUGAGAAUGCAUUCAGUUCAGAGUAAUUUGCAACAUCAAUUGUUGCGUCCAAACCAAAUCUGACUUCUCUCGGCACUCUCCCGAAGUGCCGACUAAAUCACAUAUCGCAAAAUUUUGAAAAAAUACUAUUUUGAUAUUUUUCCUGCACACUACAUCAGAUACAGUAGUCUUUCGACAGUUAAGCACCAGGGACACUACAACACGUCUAAUCGUAUAAUGUGAUCUUUGCAUAAUAUCGACCUGAAAUAAAAACACUCAUAAAAACUACACUUAACUUUCUUUAUAUAUAAAAAUAAAUAUAAAGAGAUAUUAUAUAUUAAAAUCAUACCAAUACUCUCUCGACAUGUCCACGUGGCUGAUUCGCAAGGGGUGGGCGCUGUACUAGUCUAGAUAUCCACCUCCUGGUGCUCCUCCAAUACUACUGCAUGUAAACAAUGGUAGCUCGUAUAGGAUCUGAAUCUAUUUCAACGUCCACCUCUACUAUAUUCAUCAAUUUAUCAUCCCAAUACUAAAUAUAUGAAGCAUGAUAUGUCAUCCAAUUCUCAUCUGCUCUAUCUCGUGAAGUGAUACGAGAUAUAACAACCACUGCUUCAGGUAUACUGUAGAAGAUCAAACUGUCGAAGCAAACGAUCUAAAAGAUGCAGCUCAAUAAUAUGGAAGCAGACUAAUGUGGUCCUAGAUCGCCAAACCUGGGACCCCGCUACACAAAAAGGUGGGAAUGUCUCUAAUACUACAUCUGUAUAAGGUCUCAAUGUAAUCUAUUGUGAAAAUAAAUAUGGUUACUUACUCUCUCGUUUUUAAAUAUAAUUUACAAUUAUAAUAAAAUUGAGUUACUUUCAUUUAUCUAAGACUCAUAGCUACUAAUCAAGAUGAUCACGAUAAAACUCAAUGUUAGUAGUAUUAACAUUAUCCCGAAAGGAUUCCUCAUCAUCACUAGAAUCAACAUCAAUUCGCCCUUGAUCCUCUUCAUCACUUUUAAUAAUAUACCCCUCAUCACUUUUAAUUAUGUCCUCAUUAUCAAUUGUAGUUCUCAUUUCCCAAUCGGUCCAUUUACGACCACUAAAUAAUGGACCUCAACUUUGAUUAUGAGGAAUACUCAACCUGCAAAGAUAUUUAAGAUUAACUAUUCGCAUUGGUCCAAUUUUUAUGUAACUAAAUUAUACAAUCACCUACCUCUUAUUUUGACCAAUCAAUGGAGACGGAUCCAUCGUAGUAGAUGGCAAUGAUGCACUAACUAGCAUACAUGGGACUCCAAACUCUCUAUAACACUUACAAAACAAAGUUAUUAAUUUUGCAUACAUAAACUAAUUGAGGAAUUAUAACAAAUAUUUAUACAAAUCAUUACUAUAUAUCUUAAUGUAGGAACUCAUUCGCAAUUGACAUAAUUUCUUUGAUAAUCACUACUAAGCAUUUCCAUGUAGUUAACAGUACUUGGACGGUCUUGUGUCGUCAACACAUGUUUCUCUACGAAUAAUUUUAUACAUUCAUGUAACGAAAAAAAACUCAUCACACCAAAUAGUGCAUUGUCACUUGAUAUGUUAACUUAUAAUUCUCAUUUGUUAGCUCCUAUUGGACAUCAAACCAUUAUGUGGAGACGGUUUUCCACUCAAUCAUAGUUAGUAACCCUUAUAUAUUUCCCUUUCAAAUUUUCGAAAUGUGAUAUUACGUUGAAUAGCAACCAAUUCUUUACUGCCACCAAGAUAUCGUGGUACAUUAUUGUUCACGACUAAGUUUUCGUCCCAAUGGAUAUAAAAAGUGUUAGAAUUCGUCCACAUUAGGAUUUAUCUAAAAUAUUCCUAAUCCAUAUGGAAUAAGGAAUAAAUAUUGGUAGUUAUCUAAGAUAUUCCUUGUCCGCAUGGGAUAAUAAAUAAAUCUAAGAAAUAUAUCCUAAUCUGUUUAAAUAUCUAUCUAUGUGAGAUACAGUUAGAAUAGGAUUAGGACUAACGUCUCCCUUAUGGCCUAUAAAUAUAUAAGGUAUUGGCCACUUUCAAUAUACAAGAAAAAUUAAUUAAUUUCUCCACAAAAGUCUCUCUCGGGUUCGUUCUAGGGCACCGUCGGAAACCCUAAGGAUUUGGGCGGUGUGCGGUGAUCGACUCUAGUAGCUAGAUUGCGACGAGUAAGAACAACGUGCAACAAAUUGAAAUAGGUAUUUGGCAGAUUAACGAGUUCAUAAAACAAGACGAGGUCUAAUCCUGGUAAUUGUAAUAUAUUCCGCAGUGAAAGAGGUAUGUAAAAAUCUAUAUGAUUUUUGUGAUUUAUUUUGGGUAUUAGUUUAUCCAACAGUGGUAUCAGAGCGGCGUAGUGCUUGUUUUCGCUCGAUGAUCUAUUUUUUUUUUUUAUAUCGAAUAGAUUUUUAAUUGUUGUUUUUUAAACAACAAAUUUGCAUUGAUUCGUAUAAGAGAAAAAAAAUAAUAAUAAUAACCGGCAAAAUUUUUGAGUCGCAAUUGGUAGACUACACCGGGUUUAGAAGUGCAUGAUAGACCAUCUAGCCCGUGAGCUCGACUAGAUUAGGCCCGCUGUGUGUUGGGACCGCAUGCAAGUUUGACCAGCAUACCAGGCCUACGGUGCCCACCCAUGAUGGACUUGCAGGGCUCGCUCGCAAUGGGCCUGCGAGGGCCUUCCCUAAUUGGGCCCUAACGCGUUGGUAGGCCCAAUGCCUUGGGCCGCGGAUGAGCGCAGGCUGCAUUGUGGGCCAAUUGCAGCUCGCAAGCCUAAUUCCGUAAUUCGUGGUCUUGAGUUAUGUUCGAUGUGAGACUUGAACCCACAGCCUUAGCAUAAGGCUUACUUCCUCUAACCAUCCAGACCAAUAUUUAAUUGUGCAAAAUUAUGUAUGUCAUAUUAAUAUGUAUUAGUUAUUGUCGUCUUAUAUACAUUAUAGUUACUUGACAAAAUUGCAAUAUUUUUUUAAUUUGCGAUGUGGAUUUAUUCUUGAUCAAUUUGAUAUAUUAUUUUAAUCUGUAUUGGAUGAGAUGAUUAUUUUCAAAGACGAAAUUUUUUAUUUCAAGAUGCAAUGAGAAAUUUUAUUAUCAAAUUGGAUUGAGAAUAAGAUUAUGGAUAUUUGUGCCUAAUUUAAAAUUAUAUGUAUUAUUAUAGUGAUAUAUGGUUUCCAAAAUAUUUUUAUCGCAGAUUUGCUAUUGAUGAAAAGAAUUAUGUCAUAUGGUAUAGAAAAAUUCAAUAUCUCCUUAAUAAAAGAAGAGUACUUAGCAUUUAACUAACAGCAUGGUUCGGCCUGAAGAUGGCACGACGAUCAGCACUGUUGUGAUUUGCAAGCGUAUAAUGAGUGGCUUGAAAAAGAUCAAAGUGCACGCUAUACGAUGUUGAUCUGUAUGCAUGAUGACUUGAUCAAAGAAUUUGAGAGUUAUGAGACUGCUAAGAAUAUGUUGGAGCAGCUCAAAAUAAAAUAUGUUAGUAUAUCAACCACGAGACUUCGUGUCUUGAAUCUCAAAUUCAAUCAGUACAUGUUGGACUCAAAAUAUACUAUGGCAAAGCACUUGCGGGUGAUGUUUGCCAUGAUAAGAGAACUUAAAGUAGCUGGUUGCGAGCUGACUAACGAACAACAGGUUUAGUCAGUUAUAAGGUCCCUACCGGAUUCAUCUUGGGAUCAAGUCAAGUUAGUGCUAACUCACAAUGAGGGUAGUAAGGCCUUCGAUGUUAUAGCUCGACAUCUUGAGUUGGAAGCAAAGCGCAGAGAGGCGAACCAUACAAACGCACUUGUUGCCCAUGGUGGAUAGUGCAGAGGCAAGUGGCCUAAGCGUAAACACCGAAAUGGAGAAAACAAAUAUAGAAGACUGGGAAUCGCACGUCGAAUGAGGGCGGAAUAGAUAAGCGCUGCAAAGGCAUGCGUGGAAAGAAAAACUUAAAUAAAGUGAAAUACUAUAACUGUGGAAACAUGGGACACUUCGCUCGUGAUUGCACUGAGCUGAAGAAGGUAAAUCCUAAUCCUGACUCUCUUAUUUAUGUAUGUUCUCAUGUUUUUGUUGCUCACGUUUUCUCUGAUUGGAUUGUAAACACCGGAGCAACAAAGCAUGUAACGAGAGAUCGAGCAGAAUAUGUGGAUUAUCAUCGAUGUCUACCGGCAGCCAUUAUGUCACGAUAGGAAACGACACUGCGGAAGAAGUCCUUGGUAUUGACGCAUACCAAUUUAGAUUGCACAAUGGUUGUUAUUUAAUAUUACAUGAUGUGCUGUAUGCACCAAAUAUUCGAUGUAAUCUAUUAUCAGUUUUAGCAUUUUAGAUUAGGUUUUUUCUUUUCAAUUUAUGGAUACCUAGUUAGCUAUUUAUUUGGGUAAGGACUUUUAUGGUAAUGGCUAUUUAAAGAAUGAUUUCUUUGUCUUAAAUUUGGACUUGGAUUUUAUUAAUAACAAUAAUAAUUUUGAUUUAUUAGUUUCUUCUGAUAUCGUGUCUAAUUCUGUAAAAUGGUAUGCAAGAUUGGGUCACAUUGGACAAGAAAGAAUAGUUAGACUAGCUAGAGAAAGCCUGUUGGGGUCACUCGCUAAG
rnacentral:lncRNA from 1 species